rnacentral:rRNA from 1 species
UACGUAGGGUGCAAGCGUUUAAUCGGAAUUACUGGGCGUAAGGCGUGCGCAGGCGGUUGUGCAAGACAGAUGUGAAAUCCCCGGGCUCAACCUGGGAAUUGCGAUGGAGACUGCAAGGCUAGAAUCUGGCAGAGGGGGGUAGAAUUCCACGUGUAGCAGUGAAAUGCGUAGAGAUGUGGAGGAAUACCGAUGGCGAAGGCAGCCCCC